CAGCCGCCGCGGUAAUACGUAGGGUCCGAGCGUUGUCCGGAAUUACUGGGCGUAAAGCGCGCGUAGGCGGUUACUCAAGUCAGAGGUGAAAGCCCGGGGCUCAACCCCGGAACUGCCUUUGAAACUAGGUGACUAGAAUCUUGGAGAGGUCAGUGGAAUUCCGAGUGUAGAGGUGAAAUUCGUAGAUAUUCGGAAGAACACCAGUGGCGAAGGCGACUGACUGGACAAGUAUUGACGCUGAGGUGCGAAAGCGUGGGGAGCAAACAGGAUUAGAUACCCGCGUAGUCCCUGUCUCUUAUAC
rnacentral:rRNA from 1 species